AUGUGCUUUGAGUUCAGCUCGUGCUUCGGCGGCGGCAGGGACGACUACGGCGGCGAGCGGUCCAACCGCAACCGCAACGAGGCCGGCGGUCAUAGCCGGGGCCACAGAGGGAACAACAACAGGAACGGCUACUACGUCGGCGCCGACCACAAGGCGCCGCAGAGGACCUACCAGCAGCCGCCCGCCGCAGUGGACGAGGCCGGGCACAAGGCCUAUCACGACCACGCUGCCGCCGGUGCCCGCGGCGGUUACACCGCCUACACGCAAGCGCAACACAAGGCCGACAUCGAGACGCCCAAGCUUCCCGCGUGGCACAACAAGGUCAGCGACGAGGCCUACACGGCGCGCCUCCAAGAAGCUGCUGCUGAUCACAGGUACAACGCCGCCACGGAUUACCACCAUUACCCAACUAUCGCUCUCGGCAGGUACUAG
rnacentral:rRNA from 1 species